rnacentral:lncRNA from 1 species
CAGAGAUCACCUACUCCAGUCUGUUCAUUUUGCAGGUCAGGGAACUGAGGCUUAGAGAAUGGAGGAGCCUCAUCUCAAUGUUGCUGCAUUGAUGCCGUGUCACUCAAAGGCAAAGGACAGUUUUGAUCUGAGGCUCGACACACUUCAACAGGAUCUGAAGCAAAGGUGGGUCGACAGUGUCCGUCGCUGCCUCUCUGAGUCCAGCCUUUGCCUGUUCCAGGCCACUUCUGUGGGUACAUAUUGGAUGCGGCUGUUCUCUAGCAGUUAUCUCCCUCUGAUUGGAAGAAGUAUGCAGCUGAACAGAUGAGUUUAAUAAAAU